AAAUUGAAGAGUUUGAUCAUGGCUCAGAUUGAACGCUGGCGGCAGGCCUAACACAUGCAAGUCGAGCGGAAACGACACUAAUAAUCCUUCGGGUGCGUUAAUGGGCGUCGAGCGGCGGACGGGUGAGUAAUGCCUAGGAAAUUGCCUUGGUGUGGGGGAUAACCAUUGGAAACGAUGGCUAAUACCGCAUAAUGCCUACGGGCCAAAGAGGGGGACCUUCGGGCCUCUCGCGUCAAGAUAUGCCUAGGUGGGAUUAGCUAGUUGGUGAGGUAAUGGC
rnacentral:rRNA from 1 species